GAGUUUGAUUAUGGCUCAGAGUGAGCGCUGGCGGCGUGCCUAAUACAUGCAAGUCGAACGGAGAUUAAGUAGCUUGCUAUUUAAUCUUAGUGGCGCACGGGUGAGUAAUAUAUAGCUAAUCUGCCCUACACUAGAGGACAACAGUUGGAAACGACUGCUAAUACUCUAUACUCCUUCUAAGCAUAAGCUUAGUCGGGAAAGUUAAUAAAAUUUGCUUUUUGGUUUCAUCUUGAGAGAUAUGGACGUAUAACAACUAAAUUGAUACGCCGAUGUGGCAAACAUCGGUGUGCUUUAGGUGGGUCAAGGGAGCGCUUGCGCUUCUUGUCGCAAAGAAAGGCUUUGCCUUUCUGCGAAGUCCGUAUUUGUCAAGAUGAAAUCUUGCAAAUGUAUUUUUUCGGUGUAGGAUGAGGCUAUAUCGUAUCAGCUAGUUGGUGAGGUAAUGGCUCACCAAGGCUAUGACGCGUAACUGGUCUGAGAGGAUGAUCAGUCACACUGGAACUGAGACACGGUCCAGACUCCUACGGGAGGCAGCAGUAGGGAAUAUUGCUCAAUGGGGGAAACCCUGAAGCAGCAACGCCGCGUGGAGGAUGACACUUUUCGGAGCGUAAACUCCUUUUCUUGGGAAAGAAUUAUGACG
rnacentral:rRNA from 1 species